CGGGUGAGUAACACGUAUCCAACCUGCCGUCUACUCUUGGACAGCCUUCUGAAAGGAAGAUUAAUACAAGAUGGCAUCAUGAGUUCACAUGUUCACAUGAUUAAAGGUAUUCUGGUAGACGAUGGGGAUGCGUUCCAUUAGAUAGUAGGCGGGGUAACGGCCCACCUAGUCUUCGAUGGAUGGGGGUUCUGAGAGGAAGGUCCCCCACAUUGGAACUGAGACACGGUCCAA
rnacentral:rRNA from 1 species